rnacentral:lncRNA from 1 species
GGUCACAUGAUGUGGUUGCAGCGCCAGAAUUCCUUCUAAGAAAAAUUCGGUAACCCCCAAGAUCACCCUCAAAACCCUAAUUAACUCACUCUCUUAGAUCACACCUUCACUUUUAUUCUGUUUCUAUUCUUCAAUUUAUUAUUAUAUUAAACAAUCUUGAUCUUCCGCUGUUUAUCAAUUUGAAUUAUACAUAUGUUGUAUGUUUAUCAAUUGUGAAACUGCUCGAUAGCACAUGUUAAAACAGAAACGAAGAGAGGCACAAAGUGACUGCAAAAGCGCAAGAGAGGAAGAAGAAAUAAUGAAACAGUCUGAGGAAGAAGACGAACAAGAAGAACUUCUGUGCUUUACGAGAGCCAUUAAUAGGUCAUCACUGGACUAGGUAGAAGUUAACAUAUAUUAAUUCUAAAAAUUAAAUUUUACUGCAGGAUAAAACAGAAAAGUGUUGGGAGCGUGGUGGUGUAUAGAGCAACGUCCCCAACAAAAGGUUUCAAUUAUACUUGUAGCAAAUAGUUCUUUUGUUUAUUCUGUCUAUGAGACUUUAAUUAUUCUCUCAAAUAACAUUUUUAAUAUCUCUGAUACGAAU